rnacentral:rRNA from 1 species
AUUGAACGCUGGCGGCAGGCUUAACACAUGCAAGUCGAACGGUAACAGGGAUUAGCUUGCUAAUUUGCUGACGAGUGGCGGACGGGUGAGUAAUGCUUGGGAAUCUGGCUUAUGGAGGGGGAUAACUACGGGAAACUGUAGCUAAUACCGCGUAAAAUCUUCGGAUUAAAGGGUGGGACUUUCGAGCCACCUGCCAUAAGAUGAGCCCAAGUGGGAUUAGGUAGUUGGUUAGGUAAAGGCUGACCAAGCCGACGAUCUCUAGCUGGUCUGAGAGGAUGACCAGCCACACUGGAACUGAGACACGGUCCAGACUCCUACGGGAGGCAGCAGUGGGGAAUAUUGCACAAUGGGGGGGACCCUGAUGCAGCCAUGCCGCGUGAAUGAAGAAGGCCUUCGGGUUGUAAAGUUCUUUCGGUGACGAGGAAGGUUGAUAGGUUAAUAGCCUAUCAAAUUGACGUAAUCACAGAA